UUUCCCGCCGCACAACUCUGACCCCGCUAAUCCUUAAUUACCAUGUCUGAUUAUUCCCUCGCAGCGGGGUCAAUUUAGUAAUUACUGAAGUGGUCGGAUCAAAGUCCCCAGCAGGGCUACAAGAGAAGGAUUGAGAUGAUAAAAGGAGGAGAGAAAAAAAAAAACUGUCAAAAUGCCUACCGAUAUAAUGUUGUCAGUUCCACCUCAAUAAGGCUUUUAAAAAAAACAUGUAUCAAGUAAGACCGCUAAUUAGCAGAAGUCUUUGAUGCGAGCGUCUCCACCACAGAAGAGUCUGCUUUGCCGUUCUUCCUUUAAAGAUGUCGCGCUGGCCCUUAUUGAUGCCCGUCCCCCGCCCCCCCACCCCCACCACGGUUUGCCGUGGGUCUCCGGAUCGAUUUCUUCAUUGCGCGUACUCUCUUUUUUUACCGCAACGUCGAUGGCGGGCUCGCGGCCUUACUCAGCAGUGAGGCCGGGCGGCUGUUUGCAUGACCUAACCGCAAACUCCCCGGGUACCCGCUCUCUCUCCCCGGCCAAUCGAACGCUGAGCCGCUGAGUUAUGCCUCUCCGGAGGACAAGCCCGAUUGUCCUUCGGUUUUUUUUUGUUCCAGAACGAGCGGACUGCGCCGUAAACGUGGGCAGAACGGCCCCGGAAAGGGAAGCUUUAAUCAGCGACGAUCGUGUACCCCCCCGUGGCAUCCUUCACUUCCGCCGUCACCCCCACCCCCACCCCCCCCACACACACACUUUCUUUGAAAAGUAAGGAUUCCUUUCUCGAAAAAAGAAAAGAACCCGGUUCCCGCGCGUCCCCUGGCAGCGCUGCGGCGCUUCGAGAGGUGGAUCUCAGACGCGCCGCCUUCGCCGAUCUGCCCGGGGAAUUCGGCGGGAGCGCUCUAAUUGUCUGGUCGGUGCUGCUGCUCUCGGUGGCAGAACGGGACUCGGAGAGAGGCGCGGGGGAAACCCCCGCCGGGGCGACUGCCGCGGUGUCCCGCGCGCAGAGGAAGCGCGCCGGGCCGGCGGGGACGUCUGCCGCGCCGGGAACCAAAUCGGAGAUCCCUCCGGAAGGCCGAGAACGCACCGGAAGGUUGCUGUAAAAGGACACAAGUAUGACGUCAUCUUCCCACACGUGCUCUAACACCUGCACACACACACACACACGCACAUUCACACACACAAACACACACACACUCAUGCACGCACACAUGCAUACACACACGCACGUGCACAAACACACACACACAAAUGCACUCAGUCGCACACGUGUGCUCUCACACACAAGCGCACACGUUCACACAUGCGUAAGCACACACCACGCACACAAACCACACCCGCACACGCUUACACAGACCCGCACACGCUUACACAGACCCGCACACGCAGGGUAACGGAGGUCAUUUCGCUUGGUUGACGCAGGGUUAAAAUAAAACGCCAAGCAACUUAGCCAUGGACUCAUAUCCUGCCAUACAAACAGCGCACAAGCAUCCGCCUUGCAAGAGACCAGAAUUUCAUUAUCUGAAGAGCAGCCCUCCCACUCGGUAAUUUCCCUCUGGGGUUCAUUCCUCUGUCUCCUGGUUACGUAAUAUGUCAAAUAUUCAUAUACAUAUUUUUACCUGGGCUCUGACCCGCUCCUCCUCAAGUCACAGAGAAGCUAAAUAAAGAUUUUUAGACUUUGAAUUCAUUGAAGAUUCAAGCGACUAGCUGGGUUUACAAAAACUGGCAAACUUAGCAAUCUUUUUAAAAAAUAAUGAAGCCAUUCCAAGGGAUAAGCAGUGAUAUAAUAUAGCAGUAUUGUACCUAUUUGUGGAAUUACUUCAAUUAGCAUGGAAAGUGUGUGUACAAACUUAUGUCUUUCCCUAGCCGGCGAAUGCGCCAACGUUUUGGAAAUCCGAUCUGCAAACACAGCAUCAGGUAAUUACGUUGCAGUGCGUAAACAUCAGCAAUCAGUCCUCAGCGCCAUACACUGAGCGUAUGCCCACUUCCUGUCAUGUGAGUCACAUUUCUUCUGAGUUUUUCAAAACCUUAGUGGUCAAUUGCAGUAUACUUGGCUGGUUUCCCCUGGACCACAGAACUGCAUAACAACUGGAGCGGCUGUCCAAAGCUGUGGAGUAAGGAAACGAGCCAUUCCAGUUCGAAAUGCAGUUCUGCGGUCCAGAGAUUUAAACUCUGAGCUAAGCUAGAGGUCCAGUAAACUGCCUUAACCACUGGCCCUACAUUAGUGAGCACACCGGAAGAUGGUAGCCUAGAAGAAAAUGUCAGCUUGUACCAGCAACUGCACGUGUGUGUACGAGGGAGGGGAUCUGAUUGACCUGGCAGGUCACCCACAGGCCCCAGAGCACCAGGGAGGCCCCGCCUCUCCCGCGUAAUAGCGCGCAAUGCUGUUGCCGUGGCGUCCGCACCUUUGAUAUCGCGCUGCUGUGGGUGUGUGGAAAGGGCCACGCCGUACCGCUGGUUUGUCAGGAGCGGAGCGGCCCCUCGUCAGGAUGAAAGGACGGCGGGGUGGCCGUGUUUAUCUGAAUCAACAGAUGCAGGCUUCCUGGGAUCAGUCCCUUCAGCAUGUCGGGGGGGCUCUGCAGGGAAACCAGCGCGAUGCCGAUGCCCGGCGGCCAUGACACUGCGGGUCACACGAUUGCUCACUGGGGCAAAUAAGUUUCUCUGAGCUCAUCAUCUGUCCGCUGCGACACCAUCACAAGUCUGAAGACGACGGCGGUGUGAAGGGAUUGUUUCCCUCACAAGUUCAAGUCCUUGUGAACUUAAGGAACCCCCCCCCCCAUCCACCACCCUGCCCUCUCGCUGCCCCUCCCCCCCUACUGAAGGCUACUGCUCCGGUCCUCCCUGCCUGCAGAGAGGGUCCUCUACAGUCCUGGAGAAGGCCGCAAAACCAUCAAGCUCCAGGGUCACAGGAGGAUAGUCAACGCCAUCGAGCAGUUCCUGUGGGAGGCGAGGAACAUGAAGACCUCCCAAAAGACAUCAGCGGACCUGACCCCUCUCCAGAGGAGGAUUUAGAACCUCCGCCAGGACAACGUUUUCAAAAAAUGAAAGCCCUGGCGAGACAGAAAUUGGGGGGUGGACCAUUGGGAAGAACUGGUCAUUUAGUCCACCCCCCUGAGAAGAACACCCAUUUCAUCAGUCAAACUUAGACCCCCAGCACAUGUACUGCUUUGCCUUUUUAAAACUGCUACUGUCAUUGUGGUUUUGUGUUUGAUGUAUAUGUAUGUGGUGUUUUUAUUAUUUAAAAGAAUGGAUUUCAUUGUUGUUUAGUUUUUUCACAACUUGUUCUUUCCAUGUUCUUCCUUAUAAUUUUUGACAUUUAAAAAAAAAUGUGUUCUGAAACUGUUCAGAAAUU